CACAUGCAAGUCGAGGGGCAGCGGGGAUCUAGCUUGCUAGAUUUGCCGGCGCCCGGCGCACGGGUGAGUAACACGUAUCCAACCUGGCCCAUACUCGGGUAUAGCCUCUCGAAAGGGAGAUUAAUCCCCGAUGUUGUUGUUUCACCGCAUGGUGUACCAACCAAAGAAUUUCGGUAUGGGAUGGGGAUGCGUUCCAUUAGCUUGUUGGCGAGGUAACGGCCCACCAAGGCGACGAUGGAUAGGGGUUCUGAGAGGAAGGUCCCCCACACUGGAACUGAGACACGGUCCAGACUCCUACGGGAGGCAGCAGUGAGGAAUAUUGGUCAAUGGGCGGAAGCCUGAACCAGCCAAGUAGCGUGAAGGAUUACAGCCCUACGGGUUUUAAACUUCUUUUAUAUAAGAGUAAUGUGCACUACGUGUAGUGUAUUGCAAGUAUUAUAUGAAUAAGCAUCGGCUAACUCCGUGCCAGCAGCCGCGGUAAUGCGGAGGAUGCGAGCGUUAUCCGGAUUUAUUGGGUUUAAAGGGAGCGUAGGCGGGUUUUUAAGUCAGCUGUGAAAGUUUGAGGCUCAACCUUAAAAUUGCAGUUGAUACUGGAGACCUUGAGUGCGGUAAAGGUAGGCGGAAUUCGUGGUGUAGCGGUGAAAUGCUUAGA
rnacentral:rRNA from 1 species